rnacentral:rRNA from 1 species
UACGUAGGUGGCAAGCGUUAUCCAGAAUUAUUGGGCGUAAAGAGCGCGCAGGUGGUUGAUUAAGUCUGAUGUGAAAGCCCACGGCUUAACCGUGGAGGGUCAUUGGAAACUGGUCGACUUGAGUGCAGAAGAGGGAAGUGGAAUUCCAUGUGUAGCGGUGAAAUGCGUAGAGAUAUGGAGGAACACCAGUGGCGAAGGCGGCUUCCUGGUCUGUAACUGACACUGAGGCGCGAAAGCGUGGGGAGCAAACAGGAUUAGAUA